rnacentral:rRNA from 1 species
AGCAGUAGCCACGGUAAUACGAAGGGUGCAAGCGUUAAUCGGAAUUACUGGGCGUAAAGCGUGCGUAGGCGGUUUGUUAAGUCUGUUGUGAAAUCCCCGGGCUCAACCUGGGAAUGGCAAUGGAUACUGGCAAGCUAGAGUGUGUCAGAGGAUGGUGGAAUUCCCGGUGUAGCAGUGAAAUGCGUAGAGAUCGGAAGGAACAUCUGUGGCGAAGGCGACUAUCUGGGCCAACACUGACACUGAGGCACGAAAGCGUGGGGAGCAAACAGGAUUAGAGACCCCUGUAGUCCCUGUCUCUUAUAC